GAUGAACGCUGGCGGCGUGCCUAAUACAUGCAAGUAGAACGCUGAAGGAAGGAGCUUGCUCUUUCUGGAUGAGUUGCGAACGGGUGAGUAACGCGUAGGUAACCUGCCUGGUAGCGGGGGAUAACUAUUGGAAACGAUAGCUAAUACCGCAUAACAGUAGAUGUUGCAUGACAUUUACUUGAAAGGGGCAAUUGCUCCACUACCAGAUGGACCUGCGUUGUAUUAGCUAGUUGGUGAGGUAACGGCUCACCAAGGCGACGAUACAUAGCCGACCUGAGAGGGUGAUCGGCCACACUGGGACUGAGACACGGCCCAGACUCCUACGGGAGGCAGCAGUAGGGAAUCUUCGGCAAUGGACGGAAGUCUGACCGAGCAACGCCGCGUGAGUGAAGAAGGUUUUCGGAUCGUAAAGCUCUGUUGUAAGAGAAGAACGAGUGUGAGAGUGGAAAGUUCACACUGUGACGGUAUCUUAUCAGAAAGGGACGGCUAACUACGUGCCAGCAGCCGCGGUAAUACGUAGGUCCCGAGCGUUAUCCGGAUUUAUUGGGCGUAAAGCGAGCGCAGGCGGUUAGAUAAGUCUGAAGUUAAAGGCUGUGGCUUAACCAUAGUACGCUUUGGAAACUGUUUAACUUGAGUGCAGAAGGGGAGAGUGGAAUUCCAUGUGUUGCGGUGAAAUGCGUAGAUAUAUGGAGGAACACCGGUGGCGAAAGCGGCUCUCUGGUCUGUAACUGACGCUGAGGCUCGAAAGCGUGGGGGAGCAAACGGGAUUUAUACCCCUAGUUGUCCGAGGGUGAAUUCCACAGUGUAUAUCAUGCGUAUCGAUUGGGGUGACUGCGGGGGGAUAAACGUGCUCGAUUUUGUUCCCUUUUGUGAGGGUUAUUUAAUGCUGCUUGUGUUUGGUGUGGAGGUUGUGAUGGCCUGUCUGUGUGUUGGUGUGUUGUGCCUGAUGUGUGUGUGCGUGUGUGUUUUUUUUUGUUGUUUGGUUGUGCUGUGUGUGGCUCUGGUGUUGUUGCUAUAUUGUGUUGAUUGUUUGUUUGUUAGUCUGUGCCCCAUGCUGUGUGGCGAUAUGUAUGCUGCUGUGACUCUGUC
rnacentral:rRNA from 1 species